GUGCCAGCAGCCGCGGUAAGACGUAGGGGGCAAGCGUUGUCCGGAAUUACUGGGCGUAAAGGGCGUGUAGGCGGUGCGAUACGUAGCGGUUUUAAGCCUCCGGCUCACCCGGAGGAGGGCGGCUAAACGGUCGCACUGGAGGGCAGGAGAGGUGCGUGGAAUUCCUGGUGGAGCGGUGAAAUGCGUAGAGAUCAGGAAGAACACCAGUGGCGAAGGCGGCGCACUGGCCUGACCCUGACGCUGAGGCGCGACAGCGUGGGGAGCAAACGGGAUUAGAUACCCCGGUAGUCCACGCCGUAAACGAUGGAUACUAGGUGUCGUGGGGGUCCACCCUGCGGUGCCGGAGCUAACGCACUAAGUAUCCCGCCUGGGGAGUACGGCCGCAAGGUUGAAACUCAAAGGAAUUGACGGGGGCCCGCACAAGCAGUGGAGCAUGUGGUUUAAUUCGACGCAACGCGCAGAACCUUACCAGGACUGGACAGGCACGUGAGCGCCGCGAAAGCGGCGGGCCCUUCGGGGAGCGUGCUCAGGUGCUGCAUGGUUGUCGUCAGCUCGUGUCGUGAGAUGUUGGGUUAAGUCCCGCAACGAGCGCAACCCUUGUCGUGUGUUGCCAGCGGUCCGGCCGGGCACUCACACGAGACUGCCGGUGACAAACCGGAGGAAGGUGGGGAUGACGUCAAAUCCGCAUGGCCUUGAUGUCCUGGGCUACACACGUGCUACAAUGGUCCCGACAACGGGCCGCGACCGCGCGAGCGGGAGCGAAUCCUUCAAACGGGAUCUCAGUUCGGAUUGCAGGCUGC
rnacentral:rRNA from 1 species